rnacentral:lncRNA from 1 species
CACAAUCCAGUUUAAACCACAAAAUUUAGUUUGAACCACAAGUGGGAAUACAAUGCUUUCAAUAUAUUUCUAGAGCUAUUAUUCUAUAUAAUAAUAAAAGUGAAUUAACAGCAUAGCAUAGUUUUCAUUGCAGUAGUUUAUAUAUUGGGAUGAAUUUUUUUAACACCACUUAAAAGGACUGUACAAAACAACAUUUUUAAAUGACUUGCCAAACUUACAUGUUUAAAAGCAUAACUCUUAUGUAUUUGGGUAAAGAAGCAAGAUGCUUCAUCUUUAUAGCUGAAGUGAAUGGCUCUGCUUCUGUAAUCAUGAAGAAUAGACUAUUGGUUUUUUUUAUUUUUUCAAAAAAUUCUGUUUAUCCAUAAUCUCACUGAAAUACUGGUAUACUGAGAAACCGUAUUACACGUUUAAUGAGAUUCUGAUCAACCUGAUUUUUUUUUUUGUAAUACUAGACCUACAAGGUAAAAUAUUUCCCUAGGGCUCCUAAUGGUAGCUGACCAGCCCCAAGUUAAUUCAUUCUCAUCCCUGCAGAAAGGUCUUUCUUGAUGUUAAUGAAAAUGAGUCCUCUACUUUCUGUUACCUCUGAGAAAAAAGAGACAAGAUUUUUGAAGGCUAAUUUGUUUCCUUGGAGCAAGAGACAGGACCCAGGGAGGAGAGAGAGAGGACUUAGCUGGUGACAUCUGACAGAUUACAUAUGUGCCCUAUAACACAAUGUUGCCUCUAUUAUCUUUCAAGUCACUUCUGACACUAUAAGUAAAAUUUUAGGUGUUACUCUGUAUCAAGUACGAAGCAUCCCUUAUUACAGUAAUCUCUUUGGAUUAAAAAAAUUUAAGGAAAUAAAACCGUGGACUACCUAACACAACUGCUAAAAUUCUAGCUUCUUUUAAAUAUGACUCAGAGUCAUCUAGAAUUCUGUGGCAACUACUAUGAAUUUGAUUAUGACAACAACAAAAAUGCAAGAAUGAAUUACUUAAAUUACAAAAUUAAAUUCUGAUUUCAAACACACAUAACAAAGAAAUUUUUACAUUCGGGAUUAAGAUGUCUUUAAGAGUUGAAACGACUUUGGAGGUCAUCCAGCCCAACUUCCAUCCAGAUAUCACGCCUUUCACAUACAGAAGUCUUCUGAAUUAUAAAAAUUUAUAAAGUUAUUUCCAAAAAAAGCUACAUAAAUAAAAAGUCUAUUUAUAGAAAUAUCUAUUUAAAUUCCAUAAUUUAAAUAUUCAAAUUAAAUUAGGUAGAAUUGGUUCCUCUUACCCCUGCAGACUACAUUUACACCCUGUUUGUAUCAAGUUACAUUUAAACAAUGAAUGCAGUACCACUUGAUUAAAAUGGAGAAAAUAGUGCUCUAACAUGGUCCCUAAUUUUUCAAAACCUAAACUUUCAAGUUCCAUAUAUGAGCUGGGUGUGGUGGCACAUGUUUAUAAUUCUAGCACUCCAGGAGGCUAAAAUAGAAGGAUCACAAAUUCAAGUCCAUCCUGGGCAACUUAGUGAUUUUUGCAAGACGCUGUCUCAAAAUACAGCAGCAGGGCUCAGUGCUAAGGCCCUGGGUUCUAUCCCCAGUACUGGAGAAAAAAAAAGUUACAUAUAUAAAUUAUAUCUGAAGUUGUUUAAAAGAAAAAUUCCAACUAAUUUGUUAACCUAGAAUUUGGUCUCUUAAUAAUGCAAGUAAGUUUUGAAAGUCCAAUAAAAUCAUGUGUGUGUGUGUGUGUGUGUGUGUGUGUAUCCAUCCUUUACAAGGAUUAUGAACCCACUGCAUCACAAAUCAGAGGCUUUGUUGAAAAGCCAAAUGUAUCCUACAUAGAAAAGUCUCCAUUGGUCAAAGAAUAAAAGAUCUGACCUUAUUUGGAACAGGAAAAAGCUGAGUACUUAGAAGAUAUAUGAAAAAAAACUCAGCACAGAGUUCUCUAUGAAAAGUUGAAUAAGAAAGUCACUUUUUAUCUCAAAAAAAUUAUUUUAGGCCACAAUAUAUAACAGAACUUAUUGCUAUUUGAAAUAUCACUGAAAAUACAUCCAUUAUAUAAAAGACAUUAAGUGUCAGUAAUACCUGUUUACUAAUGUAAAACAGUAUGCUCCUCAUGGAAGACAUUCUAGAUCUCAUUCUUAAAUCUUUUCUCAUUUCCAACACUUACGUAUCUGAUAGAACUGACCUUACUAAAAUCCCACAUAUUAUAAAUCAAUUAAAGUUUUGAUUUCAUUAAUUUUAGCUUGUUUCAUUUCAUUAGCGUUUGUCUUUUUAGUUCCAAAAGCUCCAGCUGCAAGUUCUCUUUUAAGUAUUUUGUAUUUUCAGCAUAUUUUCUUCAACAGAAUCCUUCACAAUGAACUUU